rnacentral:rRNA from 1 species
AGAGUUUGAUCCUGGCUCAGGAUGAACGUUGGUAGUAUGCCUAACACAUGCAAGUCGAGCGGAAAGUAAUAGCAAUAUUACUUUUAGCGGCGAACGGGUGAGUAAUGCUUAUCUUACCUGCCAUUUAGUGGGGGAUAAAAUUCCGCAUAUUAUGAGUAAUCAUGAAAGGGCUUUCGGGCUCGCUAAUUGAUGGGGAUAAGUCGUAUUAGUUAGUUGGUGGGGUAAUGGCCUACCAAGACAAUGAUGCGUAGCCAGUCUGAGAGGAUGAAUGGCCACAAAGGAACUGAGACACGGUCCUUACUCCUAUUGAGGAGGCAGCAGUGGGGAAUUUUCGGCAAUGGGGGCAGCCCUGACCGAGCAAUACUACGUGAAGGAGGAAGGUCUACGGAUUGUAAACUUCUUUACUUAAAUGUACUCCGUAAGGUUUUGCAUUUGAGCAAAAAGCGACGACUAACUAUGUGCCAGCAGUCGCGGUAAGACAUAGGUCGCAAACGUUAUCCGGAAUUAUUGGGCGUAAAGGAUGCGUAGAUGGUUCAGUAAGUUACUGGUGGGAAAUCGAGGCCCAACCUCGUGGAAGUCAGUAAUACUGUUGAACUUGAGUGCAGGAGAGGUUAACGGAACUUCAUGUGGAGCGGUAAAAUGCGUAGAUNUAUGAAAGAACAUCAAUAUAGCGAAGGCAGUUAACUAUUCUGC